GGAGACCUGCAUAGCUCAAUGGCAGGGCCUUUCCCCUUGCAUACAGACGGUCGUGGGUUCAAUUCCCACAUCGCCUCCA